rnacentral:lncRNA from 1 species
AUUUCUUCACCUGGAUUUUUGAAGAAAGUCUGGCAUCUACGGACGGCCCCACUCUUUACGAAAGGUGACAUUCGGGAAGGUAAAAUCACCGUAGGCUACGCUCGACAAAUGCUGUAUCAAGUGGCAUCGUGAGCCACAAAGCUAAUGUGUCAUCGAUUGUGUUCGGCGCCCCUAACAAGUACUCGUACUGAUCCCCGACAUACUCCAAACUCUCAACGGAGAAUUAGAGAGGCAGUGAUGUCAAACGGGCUGCAGCCUAGCCCGUCAUCAUUGAAAAACGGGGGCAUGCAAGUCACAGUUAUGUAAAACGCUACCUUUCGACAACCAAAAAAGAAAAAUGGGAGCAUCCUAACACUUAUCUACCCUGUGGGGAAAAAGGCUUGCAGCUUCUUCCACAGGGAGCUGGAACAGUAACGGAGGCGUAUGACUGCAGCCGCCGGGGCUGCUACUGGGCGCUCCUCCAGCCGCGCUUCGUCGGCGAAAACGUCAAGUGUGUUUCUCAAGGGGGAUGCUGCUCGCACGAGCAAAACUGGAGUAUUAGAAGUUGCUCUUCCAGACGGUAAGGCUUAGGAUGACGUCAAGGAACCGCCUCCACACAACUCUCCAAGUUGCCUAGCGAGACCCGUCUGGGAAAAAAGAGUCAUUCCAAUUUUAAAGAAUGAUCUUUACACUGCUCGUACACACUUUCUCAAAAGGGAAAAAAAGUGAGCGUCAAAACUAUAGAAAUGUAUUCACGCGUGUUCGGCGCAGCUCCUUCCAAAGUAGCAAGUUCCUGGUGGAGGAGGGACCCUCAGUAUUUUGGAAACGUUCCCAGUUGGCAGAUGUUUUUCUCGGGCUGCCUUACUGCGAUGCACAGUAGUUCUGCAUACAGGCGUUUCAUCAUGGUCGUGCCCUUGCAUGCCAUAGUUCGCGGCAAAAAACGAGAAGGGCUACAACAUUUCGGCGGCAUUCUCCAGCUUGGCAAGAACGCAGUGUGUGAAGCCUCAACACCAUGACGGAAGUAGACGGGGUAUUGUAUCAGCUGACCGAGACUCAGGUCAAUACAUUCAGAACGGCCUUCGCCAUGUUCGACAAGGAUCAGGACGGGAAGAUCAGUUUCUCGUACGUAGGAUCCGCCGCGUGCAUCCAAGUGUUAACAUCGCGGCGACGAACAUGACUCCGCUGUUAUUCAUCAUCAACGCAACAGCAGUCGACAC